rnacentral:rRNA from 1 species
AACCAGCUCUUCGAGUGGUCGGGAUAAUUAUUGGGCUUAAAGUGUCCGUAGCCGGUUUAGUAAGUUCCUGGUAAAAUCGGGUAGCUUAACUAUCUAUAUGCUAGGAAUACUGCUAUACUAGAGGGCGGGAGAGGUCUGAGGUACUACAGGGGUAGGGGUGAAAUCUUAUAAUCCUUGUAGGACCACCAGUGGCGAAGGCGUCAGACUGGAACGCGCCUGACGGUGAGGGACGAAAGCCAGGGGAGCGAACCGGAUUAGAUACCCGGGUAGUCCUGGCUGUAAACGAUGCAUACUAGGUGAUGGCACGGCCAUGAGCCGUGUCAGUGCCGUAGGGAAACCGUUAAGUGUACCGCCUGGGAAGUACGGUCGCAAGGCUAAAACUUAAAGGAAUUGGCGGGGGAGCACCACAAGGGGUGAAGCCUGCGGUUC